rnacentral:rRNA from 1 species
GAUGAACGCUGGCGGCGUGCCUAAUACAUGCAAGUAGAACGCUGAAGGAGUAGCUUGCUCUUCUGGAUGAGUUGCGAACGGGUGAGUAACGCGUAGGUAACCUGCCUUGUAGCGGGGGAUAACUAUUGGAAACGAUAGCUAAUACCGCAUGACAACAGCUAUUGCAUGAUAACUGUUGAAAAGGGGCAGCUGCUCCACUACCACAUGCACCUGCGUUGUAUUAGCUAGUUGUUGAGGUAAAGGCGCACCAAGGCGACGAUACAUAGCCGACCUGAGAGGGGGAGCGGCCAGCCUGGGACUGAGACCGGGCACAGACGCAUACGGGAGGCAGCCGGAGGGAAUCUUCGGGAAUGGACGGAAGUCUGACCGAGCAACGCCGCGGGAGUGAAGAAGGUUUUCGGAUCGUAAAGCUCUGUUGUAAGAGAAGAACGAGUGUGAGAGUGGAAAGUUCACACUGUGACGGUAACUUAUCAGAAAGGGACGGCUAACUACGUG